rnacentral:rRNA from 1 species
GGGGGCGCGAGAUAACUCUCUCUAAGGAACUCGGCAAAAUGACCCCGUAACUUCGGGAGAAGGGGUACCACUGAGAAGUGGUCGCAGUGAAGAGGCCCAGGCGACUGUUUACCAAAAACACAGGUCUCCGCCAAGUCGCAAGACGAAGUAUGGGGGCUGACGCCUGCCCAGUGCCGGAAGGUUAAGGAAGUGGGUUAGGGAUUCGUCCCGAAGCUGACGACUGAAGCCCCGGUGAACGGCGGCCGUAACUAUAACGGUCCUAAGGUAGCGAAAUUCCUUGUCGGGUAAGUUCCGACCCGCACGAAAGGCGUAACGAUCUGGGCGCUGUCUCGGAGAGAGGCUCGGCGAAAUAGGAUUGUCUGUGAAGAUACGGACUACCUGCACCUGGACAGAAAGACCCUAUGAAGCUUUACUGUAGCUUGGAAUUGGGUUCGGGCUUGGUUUGCGCAGGAUAGGUGGGAGGCGAAGAAGAUUUGCUUGUGGGUGAAUCUGAGCCAACGGUGAGAUACCACUCUAACCAGGCUAGAAUUCUAACUUCAACCCGUCAACCGGGGGAAGGACAGUUUCAGGUGGGCAGUUUGACUGGGGCGGUCGCCUCCUAAAAGAUAACGGAGGCGCACAAAGGUUCCCUCAGGCUGGUUGGAAAUCAGCCAACGAGUGCAAAGGCAGAAGGGAGCUUGACUGCGAGACCUACAAGUCAAGCAGGGUGGAAACACGGUCUUAGUGAUCCGACGGCACCGAGUGGAAGGGCCGUCGCUCAACGGAUAAAAGUUACUCUAGGAUAACAGGCUGAUCUCCCCCAAGAGUUCACAUCGACGGGGAGGUUUGGCACCUCGAUGUCGGCUCAUCGCAACCUGGGGCGGAAGUACGUCCCAAGGGUUGGGCUGUUCGCCCAUUAAAGCGGUACGUGAGCUGGGUUCAGAACGUCGUGAGACAGUUCGGUCCAUAUCCGGUGUAGGCGCAAGAACAUUGAGAGGAGUCUUCCUUAGUACGAGAGGACCGGGAAGAACGCACCGCUGGUGUACCUGUUAUCGUGCCAACGGUAAACGCAGGGUAGCCAAGUGCGGAGUGGAUAACCGCUGAAAGCAUCUAAGUGGGAAGCCCACCUCAAGAUGAGUGUUCUCAUGGAGUAAUCCAGUAAGGUCACGGGAAGACGACCCGUUGAUAGGCGGUAGGUGGAAGUUCAGCAAUGGAUGAAGCCGAGCCGUACUAACAGACCGAGGGCUUGAC